rnacentral:rRNA from 1 species
GAUGAACGCUGGCGGCGUGCUUAACACAUGCAAGUCGAACGAAGCAUUUAGAACGGAUUAUUUCGGUAUGAAGUUCUUUAUGACUGAGUGGCGGACGGGUGAGUAACGCGUGGGUAACCUACCUUGUACUGGGGGAUAGCAGCUGGAAACGGCUGGUAAUACCGCAUAAGCGCACAAUGUUGCAUGACAUGGUGUGAAAAACUCAGGUGGUAUAAGAUGGACCCGCGUCUGAUUAGCUAGUUGGUGAGAUAACAGCCCACCAAGGCGACGAUCAGUAGCCGACCUGAGAGGGUGACCGGCCACAUUGGGACUGAGACACGGCCCAGACUCCUACGGGAGGCAGCAGUGGGGAAUAUUGCACAAUGGAGGAAACUCUGAUGCAGCGACGCCGCGUGAGUGAAGAAGUAAUUCGUUAUGUAAAGCUCUAUCAGCAGGGAAGAUAGUGACGGUACCUGACUAAGAAGCUCCGGCUAAAUACGUGCCAGCAGCCGCCGUAA